rnacentral:rRNA from 1 species
GACGAACGCUGGCGGCGUGCUUAACACAUGCAAGUCGAACGGAAAGGCCCUGCUUUUGUGGGGUGCUCGAGUGGCGAACGGGUGAGUAACACGUGAGUAACCUGCCCUUGACUUUGGGAUAACUUCAGGAAACUGGGGCUACUACCGGAUAGGAUCUCCUGCUGCAUGGUGGGGGUUGGAAAGUUUCGGCGGUUGGGGAUGGACUCGCGGCUUAUCAGCUUGUUGGUGGGGUAGUGGCUUACCAAGGCUUUGACGGGUAGCCGGCCUGAGAGGGUGACCGGCCACAUUGGGACUGAGAUACGGCCCAGACUCCUACGGGAGGCAGCAGUGGGGAAUAUUGCACAAUGGGCGGAAGCCUGAUGCAGCAACGCCGCGUGCGGGAUGACGGCCUUCGGGUUGUAAACCGCUUUCGCCUGUGACGAAGCGUGAGUGACGGUAAUGGGUAAAGAAGCACCGGCUAACUACGUG